AACGAGGUCGCCGAGUGGUUAAGGCGUUCGACUGCUAAUCCAAUGUGCUCUGCACUCGUGGGUUCGAAUCCCAUCCUCGUCG
rnacentral:tRNA from 1 species